AUUAGGAAUCUUGCGCAAUGGGCGAAAGCCUGACGCAGCGACGCCGCGUGGGGGAGGAAGUCCUUCGGGAUGUAAACCCCUUUUGUGAGGGAAGAAAACAAUGACGGUACCUCACGAAUAAGCCCCGGCUAACUACGUGCCAGCAGCCGCGGUAAUACGUAGGGGGCGAGCGUUGUCCGAAGUUACUGGGCGUAAAGCGCGCGUAGGCGGGCUGUUAAGUGGGAAGUGAAAGGCUGGGGCUCAACCCCAUGCAGUGCUCCCCAUACUGGCAGUCUUGAGGGCGGUAGGGAGAAGUGGAAUGGCUGGUGUAGCGGUGAAAUGCGUAGAUAUCAGUCGGAACACCGGUGGCGAAGGCGGCUUCUUGGGCCGUUCCUGACGCUGAGGCGCGAAAGCCAGGGGAGCGAACGG
rnacentral:rRNA from 1 species